rfam:Triticum aestivum genome assembly, contig: Triticum_aestivum_CS42_TGACv1_scaffold_114404_2AS
CAAAUACUCCCUCCGUUCUAAAUUACUCGUCGUAGAAAUGAAUGUAUCUAGAACUAAAAUACAUCUAGAUACAUCCAUUUCUACAACGAGUAAUUUAAAACGGAUGGAGUACAUA